UAUGCCCUGCGGUGUUCGAUGUUUGGUUUUUAAAAUUGACCCAACAGUUAGAUAGAAUGGGAUUGUCACUGCUUUUUGAUAUAGAAACUUAGGUAACUUUGAUUCCUAACUCAUUUAGCAUAUGAUUACCACCUAUUUUGAAAUAGGUCGAAUUUUAAAGCCGCUUCGGCACAUGCGGGGUUUCA
rnacentral:other from 1 species